GAUAAAAUGGCUGAGAUUAGGCGGUAAAUUGUAAAUUUAUUAACGAAAUUAUUUUCUUUUAUCA
rnacentral:tRNA from 1 species